AUGAACAUCGCCUUGCUGACCAGAUGGCUCUGGAGGAUUGCCAAUGGUGAUGGUGGUCUUUGGCUUGACAUCAUUAGAAACAAAUACCUUCAGGGCCAGCCGCUCGCCUUUUGUCAAUGCUCCAGAGGGUCGCAGUUCUGGCAGUCUAUCAUUCAGCUGCUUCCGGUCCUCCAUAUUGGCUCGUCCAUCUUGAUCUGUUCCUGUUCUGCUACGUUGUUCUGGUACGAUAGGUGGGCGGGUGAAGUCCCAUUUGCCGCCCGAUUCCCGGACUUAUUCUCCGUCGCGAUGGAGCCUAGGAUCUCUGUCGAGGUCGCCCUUUCGGAUCUAGGGCGCCUCACGUUCCGUCGCCCCUUCGGUCCCCCAGAUGUUGCUGCCUAGGAUGAGAUGCUCGAGUGCAUCUCCCUCCACACCCCCAACGUUGACACAGUCUGGGAUCGCAUAUCUUGACGCCUGGAGCCCUCGGGACAUUUCUCCACUAGGUCCCUGUACCAGGCCAUCGCCCCAUCGAUGGCCCCGGCGGCUAUCAUUGUUGUCUGGGCCAUCAAACUGCCGCUCAAGAUCAAGAUAUUCUUGUGGCAAUGGAUUAGGGGUCGGGUACCUUCUGGGGUGGAGGUGCUCAAACGUAAUGGCCCUGGAGACGGGAUGUGUCCCCUCGGUGGUACGGUGGAAGACUCAAACCACAUAUUCUUUGCAUGUGUUAUGGCCCAAUUCCUUUGGAGUUGUUUUCGCGAAGUCGUUGGCGGUCAUUGGUGA
rnacentral:rRNA from 1 species